rnacentral:rRNA from 1 species
GACGAACGCUGGCGGCGUGCUUAACACAUGCAAGUCGAACGGAAAGGCCCUGCUUGCCGUGUCCUCGAGUGGCGAACGGGUGAGUAACACGUGGGUGCUCUGCCCUUCACUUCGGGUUACUCCUCGGAAACUGGGUCUAUUACCCGUUAGGAGCCAUUUUUAGUGUGAUGGUUGUUCAGAUUUUUCGGUGUAGGAUGAGCUGGCGGCCUAUCAGCUUGUUGGUGGGGUAAUGGCCUACCAAGGCGGCGACGGGUAGCCGGCCUGAGAGGGUGGCCGGCCACAGUGGGACUGAGAGAAGGCCGAGGCGCCGAAGGGAGGCAGAAGGGGGGAAGAUUGAACAAUGGGCGCAAGGCGGAUGAAGAGAGGCCGCGGGGGGGAUGACAGCCUUCGGGGUGUAAAAUAGGUUCGCGAGGGAAGAAGCGUUUUGUGACGGUACCUAGAUAAGAAGCACCGGCUAACUACGUG